UAGUUACUUAGUGGCGGACGGGUGAGUAACGCGUGGGGAACCUGCCCUGUACCGGGGGAUAGCAGCCGGAAACGGCUGAUAAUACCGCAUAAGCGCACUAAUGUCGCAUGACAUGGUGUUAAAAACUCCGGUGGUAUAGGAUGGACCCGCGUCUGAUUAGCCGGUUGGUGGGGUAAAAGCCUACCAAAGCGAAUAUCAGUAGCCGAGUUGAGAGACUGACCGGCCACAUUGGGACUGAGACACGGCCCAGACUCCUACGGGGGCAGCAGUU
rnacentral:rRNA from 1 species